AUUGAACGCUGGCGGCAGGCCUAACACAUGCAAGUCGAACGAGUGGCGGACGGGUGUGUCAUGUCUGGGACACUGCCUUAUGGAGGGGGAUACUUACUGGAAACGGUAGCUAAUACCGACUACCAUUGGAUGUGCCCAGAUGGGAUUAGCUAGUAGGUUGGGUAACGGCUCACCAAGGCGACGAUCCCUAGCUGGUCUGAGAGGAUGACCAGCCACACUGGAACUGAGACACGGUCCAGACUCCUACGGGAGGCAGCAGUAGGGAAUAUUGCACAAUGGGCGCAAGCCUGAUGCAGCCAUGCCGCGUGUAUGAAGAAGGCCUUCGGGUUGUAAAGCACUUUCAGCGGGGAGGCGUUACCCGCAGAAGAAGCACCGGCUAACUCCGUGCCAGCAGCCGCGGUAAUAC
rnacentral:rRNA from 1 species